rnacentral:rRNA from 1 species
CGUCAGUACAUAGGGCUAUUAACCCUACGCGUUUCCUCCCUGCUGAAAGUGCUUUACAACCCUAGGGCCUUCUUCACACACGCGGCAUGGCUGGAUCAGGCUUGCGCCCAUUGUCCAAUAUUCCCCA